GCCAGACUCCUACGGGAGGCAGCAGUGGGGAAUAUUGGGCAAUGGGCGCAAGCCUGACCCAGCAACGCCGCGUGAAGGAAGAAGGCUUUCGGGUUGUAAACUUCUUUUCUCAGGGACGAAGAAAGUGACGGUACCUGAGGAAUAAGCCACGGCUAACUACGUGCCAGCAGCCGCGGUAAUACGUAGGUGGCAAGCGUUAUCCGGAUUUACUGGGUGUAAAGGGCGUGUAGGCGGGAAAGCAAGUCAGAUGUGAAAACCAUGGGCUCAACCCUGAGCCUGCAUUUGAAACUGUGUUUCUUGAGUGCUGGAGAGGCAAUCGGAAUUCCGUGUGUAGCGGUGAAAUGCGUAGAUAUACGGAGGAACACCAGUGGCGAAGGCGGAUUGCUGGACAGUAACUGACGCUGAGGCGCGAAAGCGUGGGGAGCAAACAGGAUUAGAUACCCGAGUAAUA
rnacentral:rRNA from 1 species